rnacentral:rRNA from 1 species
AUUGAACGCUGGCGGCAUGCCUUACACAUGCAAGUCGAACGGUAACAGGUUAAGCUGACGAGUGGCGAACGGGUGAGUAAUAUAUCGGAACGUGCCCAGUAGUGGGGGAUAGCCCGGCGAAAGCCGGAUUAAUACCGCAAACGACCUACGGGUGAAAGGGGGGGAUCGCAAGACCUCUCGCUAUUGGAGCGGCCGAUAUCAGAUUAGGUAGUUGGUGGGGUAAAGGCCUACCAAGCCUGCGAUCUGUAGUUGGUCUGAGAGGACGACCAGCCACACUGGGACUGAGACACGGCCCAGACUCCUACGGGAGGCAGCAGUGGGGAAUUUUGGACAAUGGGCGCAAGCCUGAUCCAGCAAUGCCGCGUGCAGGAAGAAGGCCUUCGGGUUGUAAACUGCUUUUGUCAGGGAAGAAAUCCUCUGGGUUAAUACCUCGGGGGGAUGACGGUACCUGAAGAAUAAGCACCGGCUAACUACGUGCCAGCCGCCGCGGUAAGAC